rnacentral:lncRNA from 1 species
GACGAGGCACAGCCAAAUAUUAACAAAGCACUAACAACAUUCUCAGAAGAAGAAAAGACAAGAGUAAAGUUUGAAAUGUAGUGAAGCAAACUUAGACAUUUGACAAACUUUUUCCUCCAGGGACAGCAAAUUUCUGUCCUCCUGAGUACUUUGAGAAGUAUGAGUACAGCGGGAAGCUGUGAGUGCUGCUGUUUAGCACAAUGACCAACCGUUAUCUGUACAGCAGCGAUAUAAAAAUGAUGCGCCGCUGAUGUCUGGAUCGAACCCAGCUUCUCAGAUGAAUGCUGCCGUUUUUUCUUGUGGUUGCCCAAGGAGCAUCCCGGAGCAGAGGGUUCAUCUGGAGGAGAUAGGCUCACAUGACUGGUUCAAGGUAAGUCUACACUAGCUAAAAUGAUUGAUUAUUUAUUUCAAUUUGGUUUAAUCAGAAUCCCUUCUGCAACUGUUAUAUAGGCAAUCCAUAUACACUACACAGAUGUCAAGAUAUAUUUUUAUACCUUGUGAAGUAUGUUUGUGUAUUUUGUAUAAUUUCUAAUUGUGUUUUAGGUCCUGUAGGUCGUGGUGAAGAGGGA